AAGUCCCGCAAGGGAUUAGUAGAGUGGCAAACGGGUGAGUAACACGUGGGUGACCUGCCUUCGAGUGGGGGAUAACGUCCCGAAAGGGACGCUAAUACCGCAUGACAUCCUGCUUUUUAACAGGCGGAGAUCAAAGCCGGGGAUCGCAAGACCUGGCGCUUGGAGAGGGGCCCGCGUCCGAUUAGCUAGUUGGUGAGGUAACGGCUCACCAAGGCGACGAUCGGUAUCCGGCCUGAGAGGGCGGACGGACACACUGGGACUGAGACACGGCCCAGACUCCUACGGGAGGCAGCAGUGGGGAAUUGUUCGCAAUGGGCGCAAGCCUGACGACGCAACGCCGCGUGGAGGAUGAAGACCUUCGGG
rnacentral:rRNA from 1 species